CACACCGCCUGUCACACCAUGGGAGCGGGAUGUACCAGAAGCAGCUAGCCUAACCGCAAGGGGGCGGUUGCCACGGUGCGUUUCGUGACUGGGUG
rnacentral:rRNA from 1 species